CCUACGGGCGGCAGCAGUGAGGAAUAUUGGUCAAUGGUCGGGAGACUGAACCAGCCAAGCCGCGUGAGGGAUGAAGGUACAGAGUAUCGUAAACCUCUUUUGUCAGGGAACAAAGGCGGGGACGUGUCCCCGGAUGAGUGUACCUGAAGAAAAAGCAUCGGCUAACUCCGUGCCAGCAGCCGCGGUAAUACGGAGGAUGCGAGCGUUAUCCGGAUUUAUUGGGUUUAAAGGGUGCGCAGGCGGUCUGUUAAGUUAGCGGUCAAAGCCCGGGGCUCAACCCGGGACCGGCCUUUGAUACUGGUAGUCUAGAGUGGGAGAGCAGUAUGCGGAAUGCGUGGUGUAGCGGUGAAAUGCAUAGAGAUCGCACAGAACGCCGAUUGCGAAGGCAGCAUGCCGG
rnacentral:rRNA from 1 species